CGAACAGCGUCACCAGGUUCUCCUCCUCGAGCAGUAGGUUCAGGUCGUUAGGGAUCUCCAAUUAAUGGUAAUCCCCUUCGGCCUGCAUUGCUGGGCGGGUAUAACCCUCCUGAAAAAGAUGGACGUCCUUGGGAUCCAUAUCAGACUCCGAAUCGUCCCCCUCUGAAGUCGAUCCAUAGCCGAGGAUUCCACUGAAGUCGCCCUCAGGACCGGGCGAGGCACCAGCAUUGUAAUCAAUUGGGUAGUCGCCCCCGACCUGCAGAAAGCAAGCUGAGGACGCCACCUGCGUCGUGGUCGUCCUGACCAACCAAAGAAGAAGGGUAAGCCAAAGAAACUAAAAACUACAAAAGAAGAUUAACAACAGCAAAUCGGACUCUCACCAGCAGCCGGCCUACGGCCAUGGACCUCCCAAAAAGACGCCCACGUACGAAUCCCCGUCGUGACAGGGAGCAUGGCCUCAACCCACUCGCGGAUGCUAGAGAAUGACGCCGGUGGCGCACCUCCCGCUACGACACAAAAAGAAUAUCAGUAUGUACAAACAUAGAGCAGAGCAUCUGACUAAAGGAAAUCAAGGCCAGCGUAAAAAAAACUUACGUGCAUUGUUCAACUCCUCUAUU
rnacentral:lncRNA from 1 species